CGUGCGUCGCGCGAGGACGGUCGAGUUCGGGAGGUUUCGGGCGAGUAUUGACGUUUCGCGGGUGAGGUUAGGGUCGCCUCGUCACGAACAUUUCGCGUUUCGUAUCUCGGUGCGCGUGCACCGGGCCGAGGUUACGGCCAGGUUUACACAAUUUCGCACGUGUUUACUCAACCAAGAUCGCGGCCUCGAUCUGGUACGAGUACCCAUCUCCGUGAGGAAAAUACCUGACAAAUGACGUUGGAAUUACGUUAUCUAAUGGCGUUUCUCUGAAUUGAGGUGGACACUUCCUGAAGAGGAGAACAUUUCUCGGGCGCUGGUCCAGAUCGAUAAAGGCCUGGGCUAGGGAUGAGCUCCUAUAAUUAUUAAACCGUAAUGUAAAUAAAUUCGGUUGCAAGCAUAGCGAUGUUCUAAUUGUUACCGUUUUACGGAUAACGACCCAAUUGAUUCUAUAAAUAUAUACACUGGCAGCCAUUAAA